rnacentral:rRNA from 1 species
GAUGAACGCUGGCGGCGUGCUUAACACAUGCAAGUCGAACGGAAAGGCUCCUGCUUGCAGGGGUACUCGAGUGGCGAACGGGUGAGUAACACGUGGGUGAUCUGCCCUGCACUUCGGGAUAAGCCUGGGAAACUGGGUCUAAUACCGGCUAGGACGAUGGUUUGGAUGCCAUUGUGGAAAGUUUUUCGGUGUGGGAUGAGCUCGCGGCCUAUCAGCUUGUUGGUGGGGUAAUGGCCUACCAAGGCGUCGACGGGUAGCCGGCCUGAGAGGGUGGACGGCCACAUUGGGACUGAGAUACGGCCCAGACUCCUACGGGAGGCAGCAGUGGGGAAUAUUGCACAAUGGGCGCAAGCCUGAUGCAGCGACGCCGCGUGGGGGAUGACGGCCUUCGGGUUGUAAACUCCUUUCGCUAGGGACGAAGCGCAAGUGACGGUACCUGGAGAAGAAGCACCGGCUAACUACGUG